rnacentral:rRNA from 1 species
GACCAGACUCCUACGGGAGGCAGCAGUGGGGAAUAUUGGACAAUGGGGGGAACCCUGAUCCAGCGACGCCGCGUGAGUGAAGAAGUAUUUCGGUAUGUAAAGCUCUAUCAGCAGGGAAGAAAGAAAUGACGGUACCUGACUAAGAAGCCCCGGCUAACUAUGUGCCAGCAGCCGCGGUAAUACGUAGGGGGCAAGCGUUAUCCGGAUUUACUGGGUGUAAAGGGGGCGCAGACGGCGAUGCAAGCCAGGAGUGAAAGCCCGGGGCCCAACCCCGGGACUGCUCUUGGAACUGCGUGGCUGGAGUGCAGGAGGGGCAGGCGGAAUUCCUGGUGUAGCGGUGAAAUGCGUAGAUAUCAGGAGGAACACCGGCGGCGAAGGCGGCCUGCUGGACCGCGACUGACGUUGAGGCUCGAAAGCGUGGGGAGCGAACAGGAUUAGAUCCCCCUGUA